rnacentral:tRNA from 2 species
GCCCUAUUAACUCAAUGGUAGAGUCCCCGCCUGUCUAGCGGGUUGCCAGCGGUUCGAUUCCGCUAUAGGGCGCCA